ensembl:snRNA U4 U4 spliceosomal RNA
GGCUUUGUGCAGUGGCAGUAUCGUAGCCAAUGAGGUUUAUCCGAGGCACAAUUAUUGCUAAUUAAAAGCUAAACAUGGGUCCACAUAUAUGUUUGUGGUAUGAUUCUUUUAAUUCUAUGGGGAA